UGCGGCGGCGGAGGCGGCGG
rnacentral:miRNA from 1 species